GGGCGUCCCGGCCGGGGUGCCUGCUCACCUGGACGCGCUGGCAGACCCCGCUGCAGUUGUCUUCCUGCCCAGUUUCUGGGCUGGCGUUCGUGGGUUCUUGUCCACAUGCAGAGAGGUUACUGCAGGGAAUGAAAAAUUAAGAAGGUUGCCCCCAAAGAACAGUUACCUGCAGUGGUAAGAGUACCAGAAAUGAUCAAACUGGCCUUCUGGCUGCCUCUGCCUCCCUAGUGCUGGGGAAUAAAGGUGUGUACCACCACACCCCACAGGAGACACCCUUUUAAAGACAUCUAAGAUAAUUAAUGGUGCUUUACACAAUUUCCUAAAACACCAGAAGAGAAAAAACCUGGUCCUGCUCAAGAGAAGCAGAUGCACACGUCAGCUCUGGAGACUCCCCUUUGGUUAUGAAAUACGAUCUGUAUCAUCUCAAGCUGCUGAAUAUUUAAAUGAAAGACGUGAGUGGCAGGACAGCAGAGGUUUUGGGCUGCUUCCACGAGGCCUACUGAGCUGCUCAUCUGUUCUUUGCUUUGCUAAACACUAACAAAUCUGUUACAGGAGGGCUGGGAGACUCUUCAACAGGCCCAAGAAGCAUACUUCCUUGUAAACAGAUCCUCUGUGCAAAGCCCUGAGGCCCUGUCUGACUAUACCCUGGAUGCUAAUUAGGGGUAUCACCUUUCAUCCUGGGCCUCUGGGUUUCCGGCCUCUUCAUCCACCCCAUCUUGUUACAUGCUCUGGAAAUCCAAUGCUUCACCCUCACCAGUUUCCAUGGAGAUGCAACAGUUUACUUUUUUCUUCCCAAGUCUAAGCCAUGGUUAUUUUUAACUGGAAAACUCUGAGCCAGGUCACAGCUGGGAUCUGGAUGAUGCAAUGACGUCUAUAGCUACCCUUCUCUCCCACAAACGCCUUCUUUUCUGCAGUUGUUGGGGGCGGAGGCGCUCCUGGGAGACUUUGAAAAGCUGUUUUUGCUUUGUUUCAUGAAGUUAAAACUCAUACCUUGACUUAGAGCUGGCAGACAUUCUCAAUCUGAAGCUGUGUGACUACAACCUGGUAAAGAUGUUCUUAUUGGGGUGGGAAGCCAGGUGAGGCUGACAUUGCUUAGGUAUCUGUGGCUGGGCCUGGGUCUGGCAGAUUGGCUAUUUGCUGCAGCUUGUCUUGGUGAAAAUGAAGCUUGCAAAGGGGGACAAAGGUAGAAACAAGUGGAGAAGCAAGUGCUCACAUCUCCAGCACAAGCAGCAGAUGCCCUGGAUACCUUACUGUCUACCCAUCCUGCUGGAGAAACUUGGUCAGUCCACCUAACGCCAAGGCCCUUCGUUCCCUGGAGCUGGGCUUAUCAAGGCCUUUCUGAAUGUUUCAACUCCUUAGGAUUUUCCUUAAUUACCUGGAAACUGCCCUAUUUCACUGACAACUCUCUAGGAUUAUUAUAAAAGACUACAACAAAAAUAAUUCUAAGCAGUCAUACAUAUUAACUAUCCACAACUCAUCAUUGCUUUAAAAUACAUUUUGUUGUUCUUUUAAAGAAAUUUCUUAAAUGAGGAGUGAUACCA